rnacentral:rRNA from 1 species
ACAAGGAUUCCCCUAGUAGCGGCGAGCGAAGCGGGAAGAGCUCAAAUUUAUAAUCUGGCACCUUCGGUGUCCGAGUUGUAAUCUCUAGAAAUGUUUUCCGCGUUGGACCGCACACAAGUCUGUUGGAAUACAGCGGCAUAGUGGUGAGACCCCCGUAUAUGGUGCGGACGCCCAGCGCUUUGUGAUACAUUUUCGAAGAGUCGAGUUGUUUGGGAAUGCAGCUCAAAUUGGGUGGUAAAUUCCAUCUAAAGCUAAAUAUUGGCGAGAGACCGAUAGCGAACAAGUACCGUGAGGGAAAGAUGAAAAGCACUUUGGAAAGAGAGUUAACAGUACGUGAAAUUGUUGGAAGGGAAACGCUUGAAGUCAGACUUGCUUGCCGAGCAAUCGGUUUGCAGGCCAGCAUCAGUUUUCCGGGAUGGAUAAUGGUAGAGAGAAGGUAGCAGUUUCGGCUGUGUUAUAGCUCUCUGCUGGAUACAUCUUGGGGGACUGAGGAACGCAGUGUGCCUUUUGGCGGGGGUUUCGACCUCUUCACACUUAGGAUGCUGGUGGAAUGGCUUUAAACGACCCG